UACAGAGGGUGCAAGCGUUAAUCGGAAUUACUGGGCGUAAAGCGUGCGUAGACGGUUAUUUAAGUCAGGUGUGAAAGCCCCGGGCUCAACCUGGGAAUUGCAUUUGAGACUGAAUAGCUAGGGUGCGGAAGAGGGAUGCGGAAUUCCAGGUGUAGCGGUGAAAUGCGUAGAUAUCUGGAGGAACACCGGUGGCGAAGGCGGCAUCCUGGACCGAGAUUGACGCUGAUGCGCGAAAGCAUGGGGAGCGAACAGG
rnacentral:rRNA from 1 species